CGGGAAUAGCGCAUGCGCACCUAAGUCAGGCUGAAGAAAAGCGCACGCACAAGGGAAAGAAUUGGAUUAAGAUUCACACCAAAAAAUUGCAACAGAUAUGAACCUCUCAAAAACUGCACCCUACAGAUGAUUUUACCAAAAGUUCCUGCUUUGGAUUAGGGUGGUUCACGCCAACUAAUGAGGUCCCUAUCUGUGGUGAUGCUACACAGGCUGUUAUUCCAUAUAAAAAAUAAUGUAUAUUUAUAAAUUAUUUAAUACUGUGACUAAGUUUUGCAUAAUUUGUCAAAUGUUUCUGAUAUUAAAAAGCUAUGA